UACGUAGGGUGCAAGCGUUAAUCGGAAUUACUGGGCGUAAAGCGUGCGCAGGCGGUGAUGUAAGACAGAUGUGAGAUCCCCGGGCUCAACCUGGGAACUGCAUUUGUGACUGCAUCGCUGGAGUACGGCAGAGGGGGAUGGAAUUCCGCGUGUAGCAGUGAAAUGCGUAGAUAUGCGGAGGAACACCGAUGGCGAAGGCAAUCCCCUGGGCCUGCACUGACGCUCAUGCACGAAAGCGUGGGGAGCAAACAGG
rnacentral:rRNA from 1 species